AUCCAUAUUUUGUUUGGAAUAACUGUAAUUUGUGUAUUUGUGUAGCCUUGUUUUGAAGGUUGACCUCGAUAGCUGAAAUAGAUGACAAAAAGGAAAAUUGAAAGAUUGUUGUUCGAGUGAUUAACAUAUGGACCAUACCAAGAUCGCCUAAGUGUGUUGUUGAGCUAAUUUUAGUUGACAAGAAGGUCAAGUUAACUGAUUUUUCCUAGAUAUGUUGUAUGUAUUGGUUGUUGAUUGUUGUUUAUAGCAAAUCUUUUAAAAAAUGCCACUGCUCAUGUUGAUUGUCUAGGGUGAUAAAAUUCUAGCACAAAUGAGGAAUGUUGAUGUUCAACUCAACAAUGCUAAUUUUGAUGUUGGUCACACAUAUGUUAUCUAGAACUUUGAAGUUGAAAAAAAUAGUGGUCAUUAUAAAGCAACAUGUCAUGGAUUUAAAAUAAAUUUUGUAAAAGCAACUAAAGUCACAACUCACGAAAUACCAGAAAUACCUAAAACAAUGUUCAAUUUUACAACGUUUGAUGACAUUGUAAGUGGCUUAAUCAUCAGUCAUCACUGACUUUUUGAUAGGUACAUUUUUAAAAUAUGUGCUUAUUGAACAACUUUAAAUGUUUGUGUGGUUGGUCUGUCUAAUGAUGGGUUUUGUUUAACAAUGGGUUUUGUUUGAAGAUGUUAUUGGUGAGGUUGUUGAGAUUUGGCAGUGGAAUCUGCACGGCAAGCCAAAGAAAGUUGUGUUUACUAUGAAGAAUGGAUGAUAUUCAUUAUUGUUUACAAAAACAGAAAUUGGAGUCAAUUUCAAAUGUUAGCUGCAUGAAUAAUUCCUUUUUAAUGUGACAUAGUGGAAGUAUGAUGAGUUGUACUUUGUGGGAGUCACUGGCUCUGGAGUUUAAGGAUUGUUUUGAUAGGCAUGUUUCUGGUCCUGUGGUGUUGUUGCUCAGUCUGGCUAAAAUCAUAGAAGCAAAAGGCACUUAUCCAAUAACAAUAUAGAAUUCAAUGUAUGGUUCUCAAAUUUUUGUGAAUACUGACAUGAAAGAAAUUCUGGAGUUCAAGGAUCAGUUUGUCACUGCAUUCAUGAUACUUCAAUCUAUGUUGUCAUUUAGUUGUGAAUAUUUUAAAUUUAUUCAUCAUGUGGACAUAUGUUUACCUAUUUUAGAAUUGAUCCGACACAGGUAACAACAGUUCCGUGUACCCAAAUAGGCAGUCAAAUUUCAGGAUCUUUUAUGUAUUCUAUUGCGGAUCGGUUUCUCUAUAAUGCCCAAGUGAAAUGCUUUGAUCAACUUAGCCAAUUGAAAAAGGAGUGUAUGUGCGUCACUAUGGCUACUAUAAGCAAGUUGUUGGUAGCAAAUGGGUGGAUUUAUGAUGGGUGUCCCAAAUGUAACAAAAAGCUGAUGGAGAGGGUUCGUCAUUUGUAUGUGUUAGGUGUGGUAAUAUGAGUGCAAGUACAGUUGCAAAGUUUCGUGUGGAUGUCAGAGUUGGUCAACCUAAUGAGUCUACAAUUUUUACACUGUGGGAUUGAGAAUGUUAUGCGCUGAUAAAAGAGACUGCAGAUGAGAUUAAGCAGAAAAUGAUUGAUGAGGAUGAAGCUUCGCCUUCCAUAUCGACAAUGCACAGGAUUAAUUAUGUUGGUGAUAGUGGGGCGAGGGGAGUCUUUUAAUGCAUUAAAACAAUUGUUUAAGGCCUAAUUUCAAGAGAGGUACAUUAUCACAAGAAGAAAAAAUCAUUAUUGCUAUUGGAGCAGUAGAGGCCCUAUCAUAUCUACAUCAUGAAUGUGUUCCACCGAUUGUUCACAUGUAUUUCUAUAUUUCUAGACAACAAAUAUAAAGUUCAAUUAGGGAGUUUAAGUGAAGUCUAUGCUCAAGAAGCUGAUAUUCAUCAAAGUAAAAUCACUCGGUUUCUGCGGUUGCCUCAGGUGUUUCGAUUGGUCCCUUUUGUUUUGUUAGCUCCUCUGCAAAGCUGGGGAAUGAUUGUCAACUAUAUCCCGGAAGCCAUCUUUUUGUAAGUACAGAGUUAGGGGACAAUUGCAUGUUGAUGAUUGGUGCUUUUGUUGGUGAUGAUCAUCCUGGAUGUACUAUUAUUGGAAGCAAUAACACAAUAGGAUAUCACGCUGUGAUUGGUGUCAAAUGUCAAGACAUGAAAUACAAGACUGUGAUUAAUGAAUUAGAAAUUGUUGCAACCUACUCUAUGAUGGGAGUGCGGGCGAAAAGCCAAAGGUGUGUCUUCCAAAAAAGGAAAAUGCGUGGGAGUCGCCACCAAUGUUUAUUCGAGGAAAACGUUAGAAAAAUAAAAAAGAAAGGUCUGCGAAUUUUGAAAAUAAGGAUUCGGGAGAUUUUUACGCAUGAGGAAGGU